rnacentral:tRNA from 1 species
GCCGGGAUAGCUCAGUUGGGAGCGCGUUAGACUGAAGAUCUAAAGGUCCCUGGUUCAAUCCCGGGUCCCGGCG